rnacentral:lncRNA from 1 species
AGUACAACUAUUUUGACUAUUUGUUCUGCCUAUCUAGGAACAGAACCCCAGUGGCACAAGAAAUAGUUCCCAGAGUCAACAACUGAGAUCACAUCAAACUAAAAAGCAUCUGCACAACAAAUGAAACAGCUAACAGAGUGAAGAAACAACAUGUAGAAUGUGGAAACAGAGGGCUAACAUCAAGAAAAUAUAAAAACUGCAAAAAUGUAGACACCCCCACAAUAAAAGGGUCAAUAAAAACGGGCAACUUAAAUGAACAGAUACUUCUCAGAAGAAGCACAAAUGGCAAACAAAUUUAUAAAAUAGUGUUCAACAUCACUGGCCACUAAAGUAAUGCAAGUUAAAACAACACCAAGAUUCCAUCUUACUUCAGAAAGUAAAGAUGGCCAUCAUCAAGAACCUAAAAAAAAAAAAGAACAAACCAAUAGCAAUGCCACCUUGAAAACUCAGAAACUGAAUCCAGCAAAAAAGAACUAGUGAAGAUAGCAGAAUCCAAACUAAAAAACAGACACUGAUCAUAGGAGGAAAAUAGUGGGCACUGGAACAUCCCUCCCCAUGGCAGAGUGCUGCAACUAUCCUUGACGUGUCUGCUCUUUACAUAGAAAGGACGUGCAGUUUCUCACAAACAGACAGAAAAUGAGCAACACUCGAAAGAAGUUCAAAUCAUUUUUAGUAGGCUACCGGAUUUUAAUGUAUAUUUUAAAGAUCCUAUAUGCUGCUUAAAGAAAAUAAAGCUACAAGGGAAAUUGUUAAAGUAGCAGAAGAAAGUACAAGGACCAAAUUCAUUAAUUGGAAUGAAUUAAAAGCAAAUGAAGAUGAGUGGAACUACAAAUUCCAUCCACACCAGUGCUCUGGGAUACAGAAAGAAUUCACAAGAGAGAAGGAAAGUGACCACCGGAGACAGAUGCAGCCUGCUGUGCCUUUGUUGAGGCAACUUUUUGCUCAUCCAGUGAUCUUCAAUUCUCAGAAAGCCACCGUGUGGCCUUUUCUCUGCUCCUCACCAGUGCACGAAUUCCUCAGUUCAGGACAGUGGCCUUCUGAAUGCUGAGCUCACCUGUUGUCUGGAAGGGCUUCUGGCUGGAGCCUGUGCACACUUUGGAUGGUAUCUAAGUGUGCCUCUGGCUAGGGCCCCUAAGUAGCUGUUGUCUGGGAGGGCCUUUGCCUGGAAACUAUGCACCCUAGUCCCUGGGGUCUGGGCAGGCUUCUGGCUAGGAUCUCUACACACUUCCAGAUGUAUCAUGCUAGAACUCUGGCUGUUGCUUUUGGGCCUGUGCAGCUCUUUUCUGCGUGGGCCUUUGGUUUGCAGCUGUGUGCCCAAGCUGCUGAGGUCAGGGAAGGCCCUAACUGGGUCUGCCUGCAGCCACACCCCUCUGGCCCACACUGCUGCUCCCUUGGAUCUGUGAGCACUUACCAGUGCUAUCAGGGAGGGCGGCCUCCGAAUGAUGUUUGUGUGCCUGUGCAGCUCUUUUCCUGGUGGGCCUUUGGGUUUUACCUGUGUUCCUAAACCAGUGGGGCUGGAGCGGGGUCCUGGCUGUAUCUGGAGCUGGGGCUUUUAUAGUGUCAUCUAUAAUGGCAAGCAGCUUAGAUCCUUCUAGAAUGAGUGGUGACAUUUUUCACAUUAGUGCUCCUCAUCUAAGAUUUUUUUUACCACAUUAUCUUGUGAAGUGAAAUAUGUCCACUAAUCCUUUUAGACCUACUCCUUGCUUGAGGGGAACCUGUUGGCCCUCCCAUUUACUUCAGAGUAUUGGCAGACCAUAUGCUUAGACAUGUCACUCCUGGGUUUCAAUUUAAAAGCAGUCCCUGACACCUGAAGCCCAAGUUUGUACUGUUGGGAAGUCAUGUUGCUGGCCUGAUAUGUAUACCAAAUCAUGGUGGUGAACAUCCCCUGAACAUGAAUGUCAGAUGAAGUCACUCUGUGACUAUGAUAGAUCAAGAAAAAACAAGAUAAACUUAUCCCAAACUGAAAUCUUCUGUAUUUUGGAAUGCAGACAAAAAUAUAAAACUUACUCAAACCA